rnacentral:rRNA from 1 species
GAUCCUGCCAGUAGUCAUAUGCUUGUCUCAAAGAUUAAGCCAUGCAUGUCUAAGUACAGGCCGAUUUAAGGCGAAACCGCGAAUGGCUCAUUAAAUCAGUUAUGGUUCAUUGGAUCUUACCUUUUCCUACUUGGAUAACUGUGGUAAUUCUAGAGCUAAUACAUGCGCGAAAGCCCCGACCGGCGACGGGAAGGGCGCUUUUAUUAGAUCAAAACCAAUCGGACUCUCGGGUCCGUCCUCACGUGGUGACUCUGAAUAACUUUUUGCCGAGCGCACGGUCUCCGCACCGGCGCCGCAUCCUUCAAGUGUCUGCCUUAUCAGCUUUCGAUUGUAGGUUAUGCGCCUACAAUGGCUAUAACGGGUAACGGGGAAUCAGGGUUCGAUUCCGGAGAGGGAGCCUGAGAAACGGCUACCACAUCUAAGGAAGGCAGCAGGCACGCAAAUUACCCACUCCCGGCACGGGGAGGUAGUGACGAAAAAUAACGAUGCGGGACUCAUCCGAGGCCUCGCAAUCGGAAUGAGUACACUUUAAAUCCUUUAACGAGGAUCUAUUGGAGGGCAAGUCUGGUGCCAGCAGCCGCGGUAAUUCCAGCUCCAAUAGCGUAUAUUAAAGUUGCUGCAGUUAAAAAGCUCGUAGUUGGAUUCUAGUCACGGAGCGACGGUUCACCGCCCGGUGGUUACUGUCCGCUUGUCCGGACGUGUGUGUCGGCGUGGCACGGGGUGCUCUUCACCGAGUGUCCCGCGCCGCCGGCGAGUUUACUUUGAAAAAAUUAGAGUGUUCAAAGCAGGCCCGAGCACGCCUGGAUACCGCAGCUAGGAAUAAUGGAAUAGGACCGCGGUUCUAUUUUCCGUUGGUUUUCGGAACUGAGGCCAUGAUUAAGAGGGAACGGCCGGGGGCAUUCGUAUUGCGACGCUAGAGGUGAAAUUCUUGUAUCGUCGCAAGACGAACUACUGCGAAAGCAUUUUGCCAAGAAUGUUUUCAUUAAUCAAGAACGAAAGUUAGAGGUUCGAAGGCGAUCAGAUACCGCCCUAGUUCUAACCAUAAACGAUGCCAACUAGCGAUCCGCCGGCGUUAUUACAAUGACUCGGCGGGCAGCUUCCGGGAAACCAAAGUUUUUGGGUUCCGGGGGAAGUAUGGUUGCAAAGCUGAAACUUAAAGGAAUUGACGGAAGGGCACCACCAGGAGUGGAGCCUGCGGCUUAAUUUGACUCAACACGGGGAACCUCACCAGGCCCGGACACCGAAAGGAUUGACAGAUUGAGAGCUCUUUCUCGAUUCGGUGGGUGGUGGUGCAUGGCCGUUCUUAGUUGGUGGAGCGAUUUGUCUGGUUAAUUCCGAUAACGAACGAGACUCAAA